GCCUGGAUGGCUCAGUGGUUGAGCCUCUGCCUUUGGCUCAGGGUGUGAUCCCGAGCACGUCCUGGGAUAGAGUCCCACUUCAGGCU
rnacentral:tRNA from 1 species